GUACGGGAGGCAGCAGUGGGGAAUAUUGCACAAUGGGCGAAAGCCUGAUGCAGCGACGCCGCGUGAGGGAUGACGGCCUUCGGGUUGUAAACCUCUUUCAGCAGGGAAGAAGCGCAAGUGACGGUACCUGCAGAAGAAGCACCGGCUAACUACGUGCCAGCAGCCGCGGUAAUACGUAGGGUGCGAGCGUUGUCCGGAAUUAUUGGGCGUAAAGAGCUCGUAGGCGGCCUGUCGCGUCGGAUGUGAAAGCCCGGGGCUUAACCCCGGGUCUGCAUUCGAUACGGGCAGGCUAGAGUGUGGUAGGGGAGAUCGGAAUUCCUGGUGUAGCGGUGAAAUGCGCAGAUAUCAGGAGGAACACCGGUGGCGAAGGCGGAUCUCUGGGCCAUUACUGACGCUGAGGAGCGAAAGCGUGGGGAGCGAACAGGAUUAGAUACCCCGGUAGU
rnacentral:rRNA from 1 species